rnacentral:rRNA from 1 species
UAAGGCUGAGACACGACGUCGAGCACCUACGGGUGUGAAGUCAUUGAUGCCAUGCUUCCAGGAAAAGCCUCUAAGCUUCAGAUUGUAAGGAAUCGUACCCCAAACCGACACAGGUGGUCGGGUAGAGAAUACCAAGGCGCUUGAGAGAACUCGGGUGAAGGAACUAGGCAAAAUGGUACCGUAACUUCGGGAGAAGGUACGCUCU